rnacentral:lncRNA from 1 species
ACUUGCUCCGGGCAGGGGUGGCAGCGAAGCCUUUCCUCCGCGGGCAGCGAAGGGUGCGGAGAACCGUGCUGUUUCCAGCACCUUUCACGAGGGGUCAUCGUACACCAGCGCGCCUCUAAACAGCAAAGCGCUGCAGGAAACAGUCAGAUAGCGCAGGUGGGCGACCUCGAGGAAGAGCUGUGCCUGGAAGAGGAACAGGCAGCGGACCUUGUCUGGAAUCUAGUAUUGAAGCUGUGCUUGAUGAGUUGCUGCCUUGAACUUUUCCACUGA